AUAAUGUCAUAACAGUAGCUACAUUACAGUUAUUAAGUGGCAGCAAAAUAAUUUUAUGGUUGGGUGUCACCACAAUAUGAGGAACUUCAUUAGGGGCCCAGCGUUAGGAAAGUAGAGAACCAGUGUUGUAGGUAGUCUUAAAGAAAAUUAGAAAUAUCGGCCUGUUUGAGAAAUUGCCAGUCUAGAACCGCAGUUAAAGCUACUCUAAUUAUUAAGGGAAUGAAUACAGAGGAACAAGGAGCUAAGCACACGGUGUCAGUGGGUUAAGGAAGACAGAGGGAGGAACAGGCUCCCUUCAGGGUUGCGAAAGGUGCACAAGAACAGUCAGGAGGUGGGAAACUAGGGGAAGCUGGUGUUACGGCUCACAGACCGCUGGAUGGACUGACAGAAAGAAGUCCAUGAUGUGGUGGGAAGCCAAAGCUUGUCCAAAGACAUUCUAUUCUGACUAAAGACGUAGGCAGGACUAUCAGCCCAAAGUAGCUACAGGAAAUGCUGUUGGACCGGGGGAAAAAUCAUCUCCAAGUAGUAGCUAGUCCAGACUAAUGCUGUGGCGAGAGUAUGUGUAAACCACACAGUACUUUCCCAGAGGAAAGAGCAGAGAGAGGAAUGUGGGUGCACGCCUGGGGUCUCUAAUCAGAAACAUUCAUGUUGACAGUGUUGGACACAGUAGGUGGCAUGUCAUGCCCUCAGGUGACUUAGGAGAGUGAGCAGCAGUCCACAGGAACAGCCAGCCUCUCCUGGACACAUGUGUUUUAGUACUUUAUACGUAGAGGUCCUUACAGCAUGGGAGAAGAGCCUCGACCAUCCCUGCUUGAAUGAGUGCUCAGCUCGCAGUUCCUUGUCUUGGUGCUUGUAGUGCAGUCCUGUCCUCUCCUCUCCUCAGUGCAGUGUGUCACUCCUGUCCUCUCCGUCCCCGUUGAGGAACCCAGUCACCUGUCAAGUGCAGCACCAUCUUCUUUAGCCCAUUUAUUUCUACUUCUGAUUAGAGAAACCCUGUUCCCUGUAAUUAACUGUUUAUUAUUCUCGUGUGUGUGCAUGUGUGUAUUGUGUGUCCAGCUCCAGACCACAAACCCACAAGCAAGAUUUCCAUAUUACUUAUCAUGGGUUCUCUAUAAAACAAAAGAAUCCAAUAAAUAGAAAACAUGCAUGCAUGUGACUCUGAUGCUCCCUGCCAAGCCACCAGCUUAUGUACUAGGAAUAGGUUUCAUUUUCUGUAGUCUGAUGUCAUAGUGCCUGUACAUUUGAAAGAGGACGUUUUCCCUAACUCCGCAUUGGCUGUUCCUCAGUUGCUCUCAAACCUGCUCAUACCUUUUGUCAAAACCUUAAAUGGUUAUCUUCCUUAAACUCUUUUUAUUGAUUCUUUGUGAAUUUGACAUUGUGCACUCCAAUUCCCAUCAUUCCAUAUGUACCAUCCAUCCUUGCAAUCUCCUUCCC
rnacentral:lncRNA from 1 species